GAGGGUAUAGCUCAGUGGUAGAGUGCAUGCUUAGCAUGUAUGAGUUCAAUCCUCAGUACCCCCA
rnacentral:tRNA from 1 species